rnacentral:rRNA from 1 species
UCGGGAAUUUUGGGCAAUGGGCGAAAGCCUGACCCAGCAACGCCGCGUGAGGGAUGAAGUAUUUCGGUAUGUAAACCUCGAAAGAAUGGGAGGAAUAAAUGACGGUACCAUUUAUAAGCUCCGGCUAACUACGUGCCAGCAGCCGCGGUAAUACGUAGGGAGCAAGCGUUGUUCGGAUUUACUGGGCGUAAAGGGCGCGUAGGCGGCGCGGUAAGUCACUUGUGAAAUCUCUGAGCUUAACUCAGAACGGCCAAGUGAUACUGCUGUGCUAGAGUGCGGAAGAUGCCAGCGUAAUUCUUGGUGUUGCGGUGAAAUGCGUAGAUAUCAAGAGCAUCACCUGAGGCGAAGGCGGGUUGCUGGGCCGACACUGACGCUGAUGCGCGAAAGCCAGGGG